rnacentral:rRNA from 1 species
GGAGUMUAACAUGUGCGCGAGUCGCUGGGAGCUCUCGCUAAACCCGGAGGCGCAGUGAAAGCGGGGCGCGGUCCUUCGUGGGCCGCCGUUGGGAGGAUGUCGUGCGGAGAAUCCGCACGGCCGCACUCCCGGGGCGCCUCGGCCUCGGCCGCAGGCGCACCCCGAGCGCACACGUUGGGACCCGAAAGAUGGUGAACUAUGCCUGGUCAGGACGAAGUCAGGGGAAACCCUGAUGGAGGUCCGCAGCGAUUCUGACGUGCAAAUCGAUCGUCAGAGCUGGGUAUAGGGGCGAAAGACUAAUCGAACCAUCUAGUAGCUGGUUCCCUCCGAAGUUUCCCUCAGGAUAGCUGGCGCUCAUUUGGAGAGGGACGAGUCUCAUCCGGUAAAGCGAAUGAUUAGAGGCCUUGGGGCCGAAACGACCUCAACCUAUUCUCAAACUUUAAAUGGGUGAGAUCUCCGGCUUGCUCGACUGAAGCCGCGAGAGUACCGGAUCAGGGUGCCAAGUGGGCCAUUUUUG